rnacentral:rRNA from 1 species
UAUCUCUGUAGAGUCUGCAUAUCAAUAAGCGGAGGAAAAGAAACUAACAAGGAUUCCCUUAGUAACGGCGAGUGAAGCGGGAAGAGCUCAAAUUUGAAAUCUUCAAGGUUCUACCUUGACGAAUUGUAGUUUAAAGAAGUGUUUUCUGUUAGAUGAGUAGCAAAAGUUCCUUGGAAUGGGACAUCAUAGAGGGUGAGAAUCCCGUAUUUGGUUAUUCAUUCUAGCUUUGUGAUACACUUUCAAAGAGUCGGAUUGUUUGGGAAUGCAGUCCAAAAUGGGUGGUAAAUUUCAUCUAAAGCUAAAUAUUGGCGAGAGACCGAUAGCGAACAAGUACCGUGAGGGAAAGAUGAAAAGAACUUUGAAAAGAGAGUUAAACAGUACGUGAAAUUGUCAAAAGGGAAGCGUUUGACACCAGUGUUGUUUUUUCCGAAAAUCAAUUACGAAUGGCUUGAUUCUGUGUUGUAUUGACCUUAUCAGCUUUCUUCACUUUUUUCGAGUCUUUCUUAAUGCACUUUUCGGUUAACAAGUCAACAUCAAUUUCUUUUGUUGUAAAAGAGUAUUCGGAAGGUGGCUUUCUUUUCGGAGAAAGUGUUUAUAGCCCUAUACUUCUACAAUCGGAGAGAUUGAGGUCUGCAGCGUAGAUCCUUCGGGGUUAGAUACACUUGUGCUAAGUUGUAGCUUUUCAUAGACAACUUGUUGACUAUGUUUAGUCAUGCGGCUUACUCGCUUGUGCUAUUUUACCUACGCUUAGGAUGUUGAAGAUGUAGCACAUCAU